CUUUCUUUCUUUCUUUCUUUCAAAAGGUGAAGAAAGCCUCACAACAGCUCUUAGGGUACAGUACUACUGUUAGUUGCAUCUUAGGGAGUAAACAGGCACAGAGAGAUGAGUUCACAUACUUGAGGUUACACAGCUCAUACAUGGCAGGGCUGGGAUUAGAGCCCAGGGUUCAUUGUAUCAGGAGCUGUGCUGGUCCCAUCUUGCCAUCCACCCUGAAGGAGAGGACAGCAGGGGUCCUGCCAGAGGGUAAGGUCCAUGGCAACUAAGAACCAGAAGAGAGUGCUGCCCCACCCACAGAGCCUGGCUGGGGCUGGGUAGGGGCAGGAGGACUCAGUGGCUGGUGGAGGAGGGAGAGAAAGGAAUAGCCGGCUGAGGCUCGCCAGGAUCCUAGCAUCCAAAAUUCCUGCUCUAGCUGAGAAGGAAGCAUGGCCGGGCUGAGCUGCUGCAGAGCUAGGCUUUGGGUCACCACCAAAGCCCCAUGCUUCUUGCCUAGAUUGAGCUUGAGCCCUUGUAAAUCCUUGCAUUUAUCAGUAGUACAUUCCAUAAAUGGGGUUAUUUCCAACUCUGUGACCUUAGGUAAGCAGCUUGGCCUUACUGGACCAUGUGUCAUGAGGUUGUUAUGGGGCAAGAGUGAGUUAGCGGAUGGGAAUAUAAAGUUCCUGUCACAGUCCAGCACAGGGCAGGAGGUGGAGGUUCCUUUUCCCAUGCCCAGGCACCGCGGUUGACCCUUGGUCAGUAGAGCGCCCCCAGAUGAAUGCCCAGGUGGACACUUGUGUCUUUGUGGUUGUCUUAGGGUAGAGACUCAGAGGCCUACAGAUGUCUUUGCCACUUUCACAGGAUCUCUGGGAACUGGAAACUGAACUUUAAGAAAUAACUAUAGUGCAAAGGGAACUAUGGGAAAAGGGUUCAACCCAAAGCAGAAGGGACUGUGAUGAUCACAGUGACCUCCUGAGGCCAGCAUGGUGGUAGCAGCCAGAGACAGCAGCUGAGUGAGACCCCAAGGGAGGGAUGAGCCAGGCAGUGUGUGGUUGGAGUUCUCCCAACACAUCUCGUUUUCCUCACCUCCCGAUCACACACAUGCACACGCACACACAUGUGCGCACACCCACCCUUACACAUUCCUGCCCGAAGGUUUCUGCAGGACUCCUUCCUGGCGCCCUGUCCUUUGCUGCCAGCGUCACACCAUACUGCAAGGCUUUGCAAACUUUCCCUCCAAAGUGAAGGAGACCCUCUGGCCGUCUGAGGCUUGGCCUGAAGCAACGGCCUCAGAGUGCAAUCUCAGGUUGGUCUUAUUUAACAAGGCAGACAGCCUGGGGUCAGACUCAAAUUCUUGCCUGCCCAGUUUCAGCACUGCCUGGAGAAUGAGAGGGGCCUGACUCCCUCAGGCUGGAGCCCAGAUGAGUUCCUGGGUGCAAUGGAGGAGGCAGUUGGAGCAGUGGGGACUGCCCAGUGGGAGGGAGGCAGAGCCAGUCUUACUGUUGAGAGGGCAGAGGGCAGAAGGGACUCCUCUUGGCAGUUGGUCCAGCUCUGGGCUACCUUGUCCAUCCUGAGCCCUAGGAAAGAAAACAACAGGAGCCUUGCAGUGCAGACCUGUGUGGUCCAGAAAAAGAAACGUACAACCUCCCAUGGCUGCUGCUUUCAGUCUGAGAGGCAUCAGGCUGAGAUACUCGGGCUGCUUUUCCCCUCUGGGUGAGGAUGCUUCACACACAGAGCCGCUGCUUCUACACAAAGGGACCCCCGGGGCCAGGAAAUGCUGACGAAUAAGCAGCCAUUGUUUACUGAGCCCUUGCUGCAUGCUGGGCGCAUAGCCAGGCCUUCACACACGACAACAAUGGCAUUUACUGUGUGCUGGGCACGUUCUGAGCACGUCACUGCCUUCACUCACGUGACUCUCACAAACCAGAGGGUGGAACAGACCACGGAGAGGCUGUGUGAGGUGGAGAUUAUGAUCUCCAGGUGACAGAGGAGAAAACAGGGGGCUGGGAAAGAAGGGAUAAGUCAUUUGCCAGGAUUUGAUUGAAGAAUCAGCACGAAGCCUGCAGAGUUUUCAGCGAUUCUCGUGCCCUCAAGGAGCCACAGCUACAGCACCCACAUUUCAGGGCUGCAGGAGGAGUCAGGGGAAGGGGCUGUCUGGAAGGCUGCAAAAUUCAAGUGAAGGAAGGAAAAGCAUCCUCUCCAGCGUCUGGGUUCCGAUUCUGGCUUAACCUGUGCAGCCUGUGAGCUGAUCAGAGCCUCAGUUUCCUGUCAGAUAAGAAUCAUCACCCUCCCCACCUCGGGGCGGAACUGUGAGCACCAGAUAGAAAGGACCCCCGGUACAGUGCUGCUCUGGCUGGACCCCAGGAGUAAAGUCUGAGAUGAGGAUUCCUGUACAAGGGAUGCAUCAAGGGUGUGCUCCCAGGGGAGCUGGUGAGGGCGAGGGAGGCACCCAGCCAGGAUACAUGCAGGAGGGUGGGGAGGGGUGCCCGCAGUGUAGAUCAUGGCUCUGUGUUGGUCAGACUCAAAGCAAGGCCCUCUGCCACUGGCCGAGCGUCACCCUGGCUUCCAGUUCUCUGCACUCAGGGUCAAAGCGGUUCCAGCGGCCUGAUGGCCAUCAGAUACUAAAGCACACAGAAGCCAGGGGUGGGACGGGGCCCUCAGAGUUGGUAAGCAGUAUCCAGCAGGAUUUGGGUGCAGCACAGACACUGUCGCCUGUGCCUGACACACAACAGGUGCUUAUUAAACAGGGUCAGUAACUGCUGGCACCCACAGAGCUGGGACAAGGACCCUUGGGCCUGGGACAAAUCGUGUGGCCACCCAGCCUUGGCAGGUGUAUCAGUUUUCUGUUGCUGCUGAAACAAAUGACCACUCCCUCAGUGGAUUAAGCCCUUAUUCAUGGAUUGUAUUCUCUUACAGUUCUGGAGGUCAGAAGUCGAAAAUCAGGAUGGCAGCAGGGCUGAGCUCCUUCUGAAGGCCUCGGGAAAAUCUGUUUCCUUGCCUUUUUCAGCUUCUAGGAGCCGCCUGCAUUCCUUGGCUUGGGGCCCCCUUCCUCACAUCCCUCCAGCCUUCACUUGCAGUGUUACCUCUCCUGCUGGAGCGUCUGGCCUUCCGCUUGUGAUAACACUGGGCCUGUUCUGACAGCACAGGAUACCCUCCCCAUCUCAAGACCCUUAGCUGAGUCGUAGCUGCAAAGGACCAUUCUACCAUGUUAGGUUUCACCCCAGAGCACCCCCUGCAACCAAUAAAUUACUUGCUUAAGACUCCUUG